rnacentral:rRNA from 1 species
UGGGGAAUAUUGGACAAUGGGCGCAAGCCUGAUCCAGCCAUGCCGCGUGUGUGAAGAAGGCCUUCGGGUUGUAAAGCACUUUUGUCCGGAAAGAAAUCCUUCGAAUUAAUACUUCGGAGGGAUGACGGUACCUGAGGAAUAAGCGACGGCUAACUACGUGCCAGCAGCCGCGGUAAUACGUAGGUCGCAAGCGUUGUCCGGAUUUACUGGGCGUAAAGAGCGCGCAGGCGGCUGGUCAAGUCCGAUGUGAAAUCUCCCGGCUCAACUGGGAAACUGCAUCGGAAACUGAUCGGCUUGAAGGUGGGAGAGGGUAGUGGAAUUCCCGGUGUAGUGGUGAAAUGCGUAGAUAUCGGGAGGAACACCAGUGGCGAAGGCGACUACCUGGCCCAUUCUUGACGCUGAGGCACGAAAGCUAGGGGAGCGAA